ensembl:lncRNA
GUUUCCCAUGGAUCAGGCUGGUUUUCUUUCUAUGGUAUCUUAUUUAUUAAGAUGAGUACUGUGUAUUUACUCUGUGUAAGGUGUUACCUGAGGCAGGUGUCUUUUGAGGAGCUCAGGUCACAGGCAGUGAUAUGCUCCAGACCCACUCUAGCCACUGUGGUUAUGCUGAGGUAGCAGUGGUUAUGCUGAGGGAGUGCUAAGGGCCAUUGUCACAUUCUAGAGGGCCAUCUAAGUGAUGAGUGACCCCUUGUGAUGCUGAGCUUCCUGCUCAGGGGGACCCACCUUGGUGGGGGAGCAAAGCCCUGACCCAGUGAGGGACAAGGGCACUGUGUGAGAGAAGCUUCCGGUCAAACCAUACUGGAUUGUGAACAAGGUCGGCUCCCAGCCAAAGAUCACCGAGGAGAACUUGACCUAUGCCGAGCUGGAGCUGACCAAGCCGCCCCGGGCUGCCAAGGGCACCCCAACUAGCACUGUCUACGCUCAGAUCCUCUUUGAGAGAACAAGCUGUAGGCCCCAGGUCCCUGCAUCCCCACUGCCCAGUUAUUUAUGAAACCUCGGGGGACACAGCCCCUCCUGUGGUUCUCUCCAUUGUGCCAGUGUGUGUUGGGGCCCCUUCCCAGUGGCACUCCUGGUCCCGCCACAUCAGAGUGACUCUGCCCUCCUCAAGGACAGGUAGCUCUACGCCCCAGCCCCAGGCCGAGGACGCUGCCUGAGUGUACCUGGGAACACUGUCUGCUGAGCCAUCCCAUCCACAUCUCCUCCUCCUCUCCUGGAUUUUAAUUUGUUAAAAUCUUUUCUAAAUCUUAAUUUUAACCUUCCACACUGCCAGUAUACGUGAUACCAAGCUACAGGAAAUGCCAUUAUAAGCCACAGCAUGAGACAAUAGAUACAUAGUAAUUGGCUUUCAGAGACCCAAAUGGCAUCAUCAGAGCACCCCGGGCCCAGCAAGCCAAAGAUGGCAGCAGCUACUUCGAUGGCAUCCAUUGUUUAAAAUAGAUGUGCUGAUCCUAGUAAGUAUGGAGGGGCCAUGGGCGAAUCUGAGGUCUCAGAGAACUCUGUACCUGCCAGCCUACGACAAUCCAGAGGCCACAGGCCAAGUUCACCUUUCUGAAGGCCUCACCAGGGAGUUUGCCACCAAUGGACUGUGGAGCAAGCGGCCUUGCCAAAAUGUGCCACACUGUCUUCUCCUUCCGGUCUCCACUGUGGGAAAGCGAAGUCUUCCCCCAGGUCCCCUCAAGGAAGGAGCAAAGGACACACACACCACCCUGGAGCCUGUGUCUCAAGGGCCCUUCUCUUGCCAUGCGCCUUGCCCGCCUCCACCUCGUCUGUGAACUCAAAUGGGGUUGGACAGGUGCAGGGCUGCGUGGCCUUGCCAUGCAUACGGGAGCUGGGACUGGUUGAGCGCCAUCCCUUCUGCACAUGGUGCUGGUCCCUACUGUUCUGUCUGUGAGUGUACUCUGGGUGGCCAUAGCCUGCACACACACUAUAUAUAGAAAUGAUUUGUCUAUGUAGUAUGCCGUAUAUAUGGGACAAGUUAUCUAUUUUAAACACAACCAGGGUGUGGGUUGUGUCCCGCUAUAUCACAGUGUGACUUUGGAUUUCUUAUCCAUUGAGAGCCUUGGGUUCUCUGUGAGUGCAAAGGUAACCUAAUCUCUCCUAGAAUUCUUGAGGGCAUAAAUAAGGUAGUGAGUACAACCGGAUUCUGAAGACUGAAUCCUUUCACCGAGAAUGGCUGUUGAUAUUCAUGUUAAAGCCAGUCUUCAUUUCCACAGUGAAAAUUUCUAAGACUCAGUUCUUUAAAUUUAACCACUUACCAGUCCCAUUAUUUAAAUACACGAUGACCAAAAUUUGCAUUUUUUUUUGUUAAUUUUAAUAAGAUAAUAUAACAGGAAAUAUAAAAAUGACAAUCAAAUUUAUUCAGUGCAAGAAAUGACACCCGCCCUGAGGGAUGCUCGGGAUAAAUUGUUAAUUUGUUAAAAGCGGUAUCUCACAUGAAUGCUCCCAAAGACUCGUGAUCCUGUGACAGCUGCUCGUGAUUUAAGGAAAGGGUCCAAAUGAAAGCAGAUGCUGGUUUCCUGGAAGUAAAGACAGCCCACCU